CAUUUUUAUUUUCAAUGCUAUAGAAACAAAUGAAGUAAUUAUUUGCAAAUUAUUUAAAAAAAAGUCACAUACAUUGCUUACCUUCUUAUUGUACGAGCCUGCUUUACGAUGGUACGAUCACGAAUGACAUGCGUCUUUCAAUUGCUUUUUUAUUACCCUUUUUGGGAUUUUCUUUUGGCACUAUUGUUUCUGCUUCGCACUCAAUCAAAUAAAUCAAGAAAUGAAUAGGAAUAGCCGAAUAUAUUGCGGCUUUGCUGAUAAGUAAGCAUGUUCAAUGAUAUUUGAACAUAUUUCCGGUGCAUUAAUCCAGAUUAAUUCAGGAGCUAGUGAAGAUAACUAAGAUUUCUAAGUCCCUUUCAAUACUAAUAGAGAGUAAAAAUUACAAUGAACUGUUUACGAGAGAUUCAAACUCGCAUAGCUGCCAUCUGUUACCAACCAAAUUGGUUCCUACUGUGUGCGUGUAUAUUAACGGUGCCGUCUAUUAAGGCUAUAACCUAACAUCAUAAUAUAAUUCACUGACAAUAUAUAAACCACAAUUUGUUAAACAAAUACAUUGCUAUUAAAACUGCUUCAAAAGAUUAAAUUGAUGAAUGAAUUGACAAAAGCGAUACUGGACACUAUUACCAAAGUGGCGUCUUCAGAAAUAAGGGAAAGAAGCGCCUGGAAAUUUGACCGCAAUGGCACCUUCGUACGUCAAAAAUAUGAAUGACAUCCGACUUUGGUGUAAAUAAAGAAGAUUUUCACAAAGUAUGUGAAAAGGUUAAGGAAAUCGGAAAGUCCAACAACAACAUGCGACUUUGAAUUCCACUUAAGAAAAGAGUGGCUAUUGCGUAGCAAGUUUAUUUGGCGUAGGACGCACCACAAUUGGGAAUAUAGUUGUGGAUUUUUGCAAAGCCGUGUGUACAAAUUUAUCGGAUUGCAUCAAUUCCUAUCCCCCAAGCACAUAAGAAGUAGAGCAAAAUGUUCAACCCUCGUUUUCCGCAAUGUUUUGGAGCAAUAGAUGGCUGCCACAUUGAGGUUCAGCCGAAAAAGGAAGAUGCGAUCGAGUAUUAAAAUUAAUGGGGUUCAGCUGGCAAUUUGCGACUAUAGAUGAAAAUUUACAUAUAUACAUGUUGGGUCAACUGUAAGAAAUAACGAUUCUUACAUUUUUGAAAGUACUUCCAUAAAGAAAUUUCAUAAAACCGCUGAUAUUUUUGCUCAGAGCAUCAAAAUGAUUGGACAUGUUAACGUCCCCGUAUUACAGAGGUUUACCGGUAGCUCCAAAAAACGUUAACGUUAUUAUACAUACAUGCUGUAUUUUGUACAAUUUUCUAAAAAUUUAAAUUGAUGAAAUUUCUCCUUAGUGGAUACAUGAUGCUGCAGAAAUAAUUACAGAAAUUCAACCACAUCACACUACAAGAGCUGGGGAAAAUGAUGUAACAGCAUCGGCUAUUAGAAAUGCAAUAGCUCUGAGUUUUCGUGAGCAUAGAUGUAUAGAGUAGCCGAAAACAAAUACUAGUACACGUAAUUACAAACAUCCAUUUUUGAAAGAGAUAAUUUUUUAUUUGAAUUAAUUUUUUGUUACAUUAUACUAUA
rnacentral:lncRNA from 1 species